rnacentral:sRNA from 1 species
UAUGGACGUCCAGGAGUCGAAGCUCCCGC